UCCCUGGUGGCUCACAAGGUGAAGAAUCUACCUGCAACGCAGAAGACCCAGGUUCAAUCCCUGGGUAGGGAA
rnacentral:tRNA from 1 species